GGACCACCGCAACCGCGUCGCGAACGCGGGAGGAUUCGGGCGGAGAUUUCGCGGGAACGAGAGAGCGCGCGCUUUUUUUUUUUACACGAAAGUCUUUUCCUUUGUUUAUAGCGCGAAAACAAAUAAAAUAGUAUCGACCGAGGAUUCUCCCCCUCGUGAGACUUUUCCUGCUGCGACAGGUGGCGCGGAUCGUUUUGUCUUGCGUGACAAUAAGAUACGACUUUCGAACUUGCGUCCUUUCGUUGUUUCGGUUCGGUGAAAAGCGCAAACGCGACGCGGAAAAUCUUUCAAUUGACCAAAAAUUGCGGUUCACUCGGAGCCCGAUUAAUGCCGACGCGUAUAAUAUGCAUUUCGCGCGCGCGUGCGUGUGUGUGUGUGUGUUUAUGCGCACACGAUUCUUCCCGAGUCAACAACUUUUCUCGAUCGGCCGAAGAAAGCGCCACGGAGGAAGAAAAGAGAGGAGAUAAUGCGGCGCCACUGCGGUCGGUAAACACACAAAUCCCGCUUCGAAUCUCGAGUGUUCACAACAAACGGAGGCCAUGAUCGACAAGAGACGUAAAGUUCGAACGUCAAACGACGAUGUUGCGAUCACAACGAGCAAUCCAAUCCUUUCGCGUACACAAGUCUGUACUGGUCUCGCGUGCGCAGCUGAAAAACCAAAGAGAACUUGGUUCGAAACCGGUUUCGAUCUGGAGCAGGUUCUGUCACAAACCGACAGCGGCCAUGUUCACCGCGCGUCAUGUCACCGGUAGAGUCGAACAGCUGUGGGACUUAUGAAAUCAUCGAUCGUUCCAGGUUUUGAAACACAUCAGGACAAUACAGAGCACUUAUUUUGCUAUAAUGCGCAUCUUGGCGAGAGGACAUUUUCCAGUAGUACAAGUCGAAAUAUUGAAGGAGCGCAAACAGAUAACUUGUUUUCAGAAGAAGAAGCCUACCUACACACGCGUACAAGAAUCUUACCUCGAGAGACGUUCAAAAACCUCCAUCCAGAAAUUGCGACAACAGUCGCAAGCAAAGACGUGCAGACGCGC